CCUGCCCUUCAGAGGGGGACAACAGUUGGAAACGGCUGCUAAUACCGCAUACGAUCUGACCUCGGCAUCGAGGAUAGAUGAAAGGUGGCCUCUAUUUAUAAGCUAUCACUGAAGGAGGGGAUUGCGUCUGAUUAGCUAGUUGGAGGGGUAACGGCCCACCAAGGCGGUGAUCAGUAGCCGGUCUGAGAGGAUGAACGGCCACAUUGGGACUGAGACACGGCCCAG
rnacentral:rRNA from 1 species